ensembl:lncRNA
AUUUAACCAGGUAGGCUAGUUGAGAACACCUUUAUUUAACCAGGUAGGCUAGUUGAGAACACCUUUAUUUAACCAGGUAGGCUAGUUGAGAACACAUUUAUUUAACCAGGUAGUCUAGUUGAGAACACCUUUAUUUAACCAGGUAGGCUAGUUGAGAACACCUUUAUUUAACCAGGUAGGCUAGUUGAGAACACCUUUAUUUAACCAGGUAGGCUAGUUGAGAACACCUUUAUUUAACCAGGUAGGCUAGUUGAGAACACCUUUAUUUAACCAGGUAGGCUAGUUGAGAACACAUUUAUUUAACCAGGUAGGCUAGGUGAGAACACCUUUAUUUAACCAGGUAGGCUAGUUGAGAACACCUUUAUUUAACCAGGUAGGCUAGUUGAGAACACCUUUAUUUAAUAGGCUAGUUGAGAACACCUUUAUUUAACCAGGUAGGCUAGUUGAGAACAAGUUCUCAUUUAUAACUGCGACCUGGCCAAGAUAAAGCAAAGUAGUUUGACACAUACAACAACACAGAGUUACACAUGGAAUAAACAAACAUACAGUCAAUAAUACAGUAGAAAAAGUCUAUAUACAGUGUGUGCAAAUGAGGUAAGGUAAGGGAGGUAAGGCAAUAAAUAGGCCGUAGUGGCGAAGUAACUACAAUAUAGCAAAUUAAACACUGGAGUGAUAGAUGUGCAGAAGAUGAAUGUACAAGUAGAGAUACUGGGGUGCCAAGAGAAAGAUAAAUAAAUAAAAACAGUAUGGGGAUGAGAUAGUUGGGCUAUUUACAGGUGCUGUGAUCUGUGAGCUGCUCUGACAGCUGGUGCAUAAAGCUAGUGAGGGAGAUAUGAGUCAGGUGUGCUGUGUGCCCUGCCUCCAGUCCACUUACUGAUAUCUGAACAAGCGUCAUCGGAAUUGCAACAAGCUGUUCUAUGAAAAUGGAAUUUAAUCAGAAGACACUGCCAGAUUCCUGGAUAGGGCUGCGCUCAGAGUAUCCUGCCUUGGCAAAUCACCCUGUUAAAACCUCUUGCUCCUACCCCCUACUUUUUCGAACAUUCUGUUAAAAAUCGCGCAACAUUUCAGCGCCCUGCUACUCAGGUCAGGAAUAUAGUAUAUGCAUAUGAUUAGUAUGUGUGGAUAGAAAACACUCUGACGUUUCUAAAACUGGUUAAAUCACGGCUGUGACUAUAACAGAGCGUCUGUUUCAUCGAAAAGCGCAGGAAAAUCUGAUCACUGAAAAUGGAAAAAAAUAUCCAUGCGCCACUUCCAGGAUUGUUAAAGGUGAACCGUAUUAAAUGAGGCCGAGGUUGCAGUACCUACAGUUUCCACAGGAUGUCUAGAGUCUUCUCAUUUGCUUCGGAUUUGAUUCUUGGUCGAACCGACCCAAGGGAACCGAUUCCCUCCGGCCUCCAACAGGAUGUAUUGGUUGAGUUUUUUCCGGGCAUUUUUUCCAGACGACCACCUAUAGAAUUUACAUCGCCUCCUGAUGAAUUUUAUCGCUUAUUAACGUGUACUAAUACCUAAAGUUGCAUUACAAAAGUAUUUCGAAGUGUUUUGUGAAAGUUUAUCGUCGACUUUUUUACUUUAAAAAAAUGACGUUACGUUAUGAAACGCUAUUUUUUUCCGUUUAUCACACAGUCUUCAUAGAUCGAUAUCUAGGCUAUAUAUGGACCGAUUUAAUCGAAAAAAAGACCCAAUAUUGAUUAUGGGACAUCAAGGAGUGCCAACAAAGAAGAUGGUCAAAGGUAAUGAAUGUUUUAUAUUUUAUUUGUGCGUUUUGUGGAGCGCCGACUAUGCUAAUUAUUUUGUUUACGUCCCCUGUGGGUCUUUUGGGGUGUUACAUGCUAUCAGAUAAUAGCUUCUCAUGCUUUCGCCGAAAAGCAUUUUAAAAAUCUGACUUGUGGCCUGGAUUCACAACGACUGUAGCUUUAAUUUGAUACCCUGCAUGUGUAUUUUAAUGAACGUUUGAGUUUUAACGAGUGCUAUUAGCAUGUAGCGUAGCGCAUUUGCAUUUCCUGAUGUCUAGAUGGGACGUCUGCGUCUCAAGUAGGAGCAAGAGGUUUUAAGACACUGCCAGAUUCCUGGAUAGGGCUGCGCUCAGAGUAUCCUGCCUUGGCAAAUCGCCCUGUUAAGACACUGCCAGAUUCCUGGAUAGGGCUGCGCUCAGAGUAUCCUGCCUUGGCAAAUCGCCCUGUUAAGACACUGCCAGAUUCCUGGAUAGGGCUGCGCUCAGAGUAUCCUGCCUUGGCAAAUCGCCCUGUCAAGACACUGCCAGAUUCCUGGAUAGGGCUGCGCUCAGAGUAUCCUGCCUUGGCAAAUCGCCCUGUUAAGACACUGCCAGAUUCCUGGAUAGGGCUGCGCUCAGAGUAUCCUGCCUUGGCAAAUCGCCCUGUUAAGACACUGCCAGAUUCCUGGAUAGGGCUGCGCUCAGAGUAUCCUGCCUUGGCAAAUCGCCCUGUUAAGACACUGCCAGAUUCCUGGAUAGGGCUGUGCUCAGAGUAUCCUGCCUUGGCAAAUCGCCCUGUUAAGACACUGCCAGAUUGCUGGAUAGGGCUGCGCUCAGAGUAUCCUGCCUUGGCAAAUCGCCCUGUCAAGACACUGCCAGAUUACUGGAUAGGGCUGCGCUCAGAGUAUCCUGCCUUGGCAAAUCGCCCUGUUAAGACACUGCCAGAUUCCUGGAUAGGGCUGCGCUCAGAGUAUCCUGCCUUGGCAAAUCGCCCUGUUAAGACACUGCCAGAUUCCUGGAUAGGGCUGCGCUCAGAGUAUCCUGCCUUGGCAAAUCACCCUGUUAAGACACUGCCAGAUUCCUGGAUAGGGCUGCGCUCAGAGUAUCCUGCCUUGGCAAAUCGCCCUGUUAAGACACUGAUGCCCUUAGAGAGUGGAUUCUCGGCCCUCACUAGCAUGAAAACUAAAUACAGGCACAUACUGUGCGUGGAAAAUGAUUUAAGACUGAGACUCUCUCCAAUACAACCCAACAUUGCAGAGUUAUGUACAUCCUUUCAAGCACACCCUUCUCAUUAACCUGUGGUGAGUUAUUCACAAUGUACGAUGAACAAAUAAGGUUUUAUAUGUAAGAUGGCUAAAUAAAGAGCUAAAUUAUUGAUUCUUAUUAUAUUAUUAUUUAUGCCCCUAUAAGAACUCUUUGUCACUUCUCACCAGCCGGGUUGUUACAAAAACUCACACUCAAAAACUCACACAAACGUAUCGUAUAGUGUGUGUGAGGCAGGCUUACAAUGAUGCCAUAAAACUACAUUUGAGAGUGCGCUGACCCUGGUGCUAGAGGGGGUAUGCAGCUGGAGGUUGAAUGUUUGAAGGGGUACGGGACUAUAAAAAGUUUGGGAACCACUGAUGUAGAGGAAGAUAAUGAGUCAGAUGACCAAACAACAAUAGAAGGUUGAACAGUAACGUGUUACAUCUCACAGGUUCAUUCAGGCAAAACAUUUUUUUAAAUUAACCUUAAGGCAGCUCCACUCAGUGAUGAGCCAUUGACAUAUGACCCCAGCCAUACAAUGAAAUAUCAACUAGACACAGGAUCAAAAGCGAAUGCCAUAAGCUAUGGCGACCUACUGUACAGCGAGUCAUGCAAGACGACAAUCCGAUUCUCCAACCCAGCAAAGCUACACUCAAGCUAUAUGACGUCACACUGAUAAAGCCAACAGGAGAAUGUAAUCUCAAAUCAGACCACGAUGGAAAAAUGUUUCAUAUAAAAUGUCCGGUCAUGGAGACAUCCCAGCUUCCUCUGCUGUCAUCUGACACGUGUGAACAGCUCAGCCUACUACAUGUGCACCACAGCCAUGUGUUACAUCACGCCGACACCCCAAAGCACCACAUCCACUGAGCUCAUCAUUUUGAGGCUGUAAUCGAACCCACAAUUGGUGAUGGUCCAGAUACUCAACUAGUCUAAAGAAGGUCAGUUUUAUUGCUUCUUUAACCAGGACAGUUUUCAGCUGUGCUAACAUAAUUGCAAAAGGGUUUUCUAAUGAUCAAUUAGCCUUUUAAAAUGAUAAACUUGGAUUAGCUAACACAACGUCCAUUUGGAACACAGGAGUGAUGGUUGCUGAUAAUGGGCCUCUGUACGCCUACAGUAUGUAGAUAUUCCAUUAAAAAUCAGCUGUUUCCAGCUACAAUAGUCAUUUAUAACAUUAACAGUGUCUACACUGUAUUUCUGAUAAAUUAUAUGUUACUUUAAUAGACAAAAAAAUGUGCUUUUCUUUCGAAAACAAGGACAUUUCUAAGUGACCCCAAACUUUUGAACGGUAGUGUUACUCUGAGACACACCAGCACCAGGGCAAAUAUCAGGCCACCUGUGAGACACUCCAGAGACUGUUGUUUAACCUCUUGAAACUAGGGGGCACUAUUUUCAUUUUUGGAAAGAUAACGUUCCCAAAGUAAACAGGCUAUUUUUCAGGACCAGAUAAUAGAAUAUGCAUAUAAUUGACAGCUUAGGAUAGAAAACACUAACGUUUCCAAAACUGUAAAAAUAUUGUCUGUGAGUAUAACAGAACUGAUAUUGCAGGCGAAAGCCUGAGAAAAAUCCAAUCAGGAAGUGACUCUUAUUUAGAAACCUCUGAGUUCCUAUGCGUCCCUAUUGAGCAGUGAAAGGGAUAUCAACCAGAUUCCAUGGCCUUCCUAAUGUGUCUAGUGUCAUAAGGCAUAGUUUCAGGCUUUUAUUUUGAUAAAUGAGCGUGAGCGGCAACAUUGCGUCAGUGGUCAGCUGGUGGCUCUCAGAGUGAUUUGUGCGUAAUAGACAAAUGCGGCCAUUGUUUCUCUCGCUCCUACUAAGAAGCCAACUGACCCGGUUGAUAUAUUAUCGAAUAGAUAUUUGAAAAACACCUUGAAGAUUGAUUAUAAAAAACUUUGCCAUGUUUCUGUCGAUAUUAUGGAUCUAAUUUGGAAUAUUUUUUGGCGUUGUCAUGACCGCAGUUUCCGGUGGAUUUCUCAACCAAACGUGAAGAACAAACGGAGGUAUUUCGGCUAUAAAAAUAAUCUUUAUGGAACAAAUUUAACAUUUGCCUUCUAACUGGGAGUCUCGUCAGUGAAAACAUCCGAAGAUCAUCAAAGGUAAACGGUUAAUUUGAUUGCUUUUCUGAUUUUUGUGACCAAACUUCCUGCUGCUAGCUGGACAUAAUACUAUGCUAGGCUAUCGAUAAACUUACACAAAUGCUUGUUUUGCUUUGGCUGUAAAGCAUAAUUAAAAAAUCUGAGAUGACAGGGUGAUUAACAAAAGGCUAAGCUGUGUUUCACUAUAUUUCACAUGUGAUUUCAUGAAUAUGAAUAUUUUCUAGUAAUAUUUUUUGUCCUUUGCGUUAUGCUAAUUGGUGUCAGUUGAUGACAAUUCUCCCGGAUCCGGGAUGGGUAGUUCCAAGCGGUUUAAUCUAUAGAUUCUAUAUAUUGUGGCAAGCCUCUUCAAGGUUAUGAGCGUUUGUCACAAAUUAAG